GGAGAAAAGCAGGGGAUCGCAAGACCUUGCGCUAAAGGAGCGGCCGAUGUCUGAUUAGCUAGUUGGUGGGGUAAAGGCUUACCAAGGCAACGAUCAGUAGUUGGUCUGAGAGGACGACCAACCACACUGGGACUGAGACACGGCCCAGACUCCUACGGGAGGCAGCAGUGGGGAAUUUUGGACAAUGGGCGAAAGCCUGAUCCAGCCAUGCCGCGUGAGUGAAGAAGGCCUUCGGGUUGUAAAGCUCUUUUAGUCGGAAAGAAAGAGUUGCAAUGAAUAAUUGUGAUUUAUGACGGUACCGACAGAAAAAGCACCGGCUAACUACGUGCCAGCAGCCGCGGUAAUACGUAGGGUGCGAGCGUUAAUCGGAAUUACUGGGCGUAAAGGGUGCGCAGGCGGUCUUGCAAGUCAGAUGUGAAAGCCCCGGGCUUAACCUGGGAAUUGCGUUUGAAACUACAAAGCUAG
rnacentral:rRNA from 2 species